UAAUCAGCUGGAUUAGAUACCCGGGUAGUCCACGCUGUAAACGAUGAUCACUAGACGUUAGUCUUGCUUUGCAGGAUUAGUGUCGUAGCUAACGCGAUAAGUGAUCCGCCUGGGGACUACGGUCGCAAGAUUAAAACUCAAAGGAAUUGACGGGGGCCCGCACAAGCGGUGGAACAUGUGGUUUAAUUCGAUGCUACGCGAGGAACCUUACCUAGACUUGACAUGUAUUUGACCGCCAUGGAAACAUGGUUUUCAAGUUUCGGCUUGGACGGAUGCACAG
rnacentral:rRNA from 1 species